ACAACGGUCGCACCGUGGCCGACACCUAGCGAGUAUCGUUUACGGCUAGGACUACCCGGGUAUCUAAUCCGGUUCGUGCCCCUAGCUUUCGUCCCUUGCCGUCAGGUCCGUUCUGGUGAGACGCCUUCGCCACUGGUGGUCCUUCAAGGAUUACAAGAUUUCACCCCUACCCCUGAAGUACCUCUCACCUCUCCCGGCCUCGAGCCAGACAGUAUCUCCUGAAAGCCUGACAGUUAAGCUGCCAGAUUUCUCAAGAGACUUAUCCGGCCGGCUACAGACCCUUUAGACCCAAUAAUAACGGUUACCACUCGAGCCGCCGGUGUUACCGCGGCGGCUGGCACCGGUCUUGCCCGGCCCUUGCUAUGAAAUGCUUUUUAGGCAUCUCGACAGCCAGAUUUGUAACCUGGCACUCGAGGUUCCCUUAUCGCUGUUGCCAGCAUUGUAAAGUUUUCGCGCCUGCUGCACCCCGUAGGGCCUGGAUUCGUGUCUCAGAAUCCAUCUCCGGGCUCUUGCUCUCACAACCCGUACCCGUCGUAGGCUAGUAGGUACGCUACACCCACUACUACCUGAUAGGCCGCAGACCCAUCCUUAGGCGCCGGAGCUUUAAAUCUCGAUGCAUUCCAGCAAUCGAGACCUAUCGGGUAUUAUACCCAGUUUCCCGGGUUUAUACCCAACCUAAGGGCAGGUUGUCCACGUGUUACUGAGCAGUUCGCCAUGUAUUGCUACAUUCGACUCGCAUGCUUAGUCGAACCUCGAUAGCAG
rnacentral:rRNA from 1 species